rnacentral:tRNA from 1 species
GCGGUUGUGGCGAAGCGGUUUAACGCACCUGACUGUGAAUCAGGCAUGCACGGGUUCAAAUCCCGUCAAUCGCC